CCCAGCGAUGAAUCGCUGGGCUAUUGUCGGUCGUCCGCUAACGCGGACU
rnacentral:sRNA from 1 species